rnacentral:rRNA from 1 species
CCUACGGGGGGCAGCAGUGGGGAAUCUUCCGCAAUGGACGAAAGUCUGACGGAGCAACGCCGCGUGUAUGACGAAGGCCUUCGGGUUGUAAAGUACUGUUUUCAGGGACGAACGGUAGGUAUGAAAAUAUUGUAUCUACAUGACGGUACCUGAGGAGGAAGCCCCGGCUAACUACGUGCCAGCAGCCGCGGUAAUACGUAGGGGGCAAGCGUUGUCCGGAAUCAUUGGGCGUAAAGGGCGCGUAGGCGGAUAAUUAAGUCUGGUGUGAAAACCUAGGGCUCAACCCUGGGACUGCAUCGGAAACUGGUUAUCUUGAGGACAGGAGAGGAAAGUGGAAUUCCACGUGUAGCGGUGAAAUGCGUAGAUAUGUGGAGGAACACCAGUGGCGAAGGCGACUUUCUGGACUGUAACUGACGCUGAGGCGCGAAAGCGUGGGGAG